rnacentral:lncRNA from 1 species
AGGCCCUCGAAUGGCUCCAGGUAGCACAGUUUGAAAACAGCAGAUCCAAUCCCUUCAUUUUACAGAAACAGAAACCCACAGAAGGUGAAGAAAUGAGGAAACGUGACAAAGGUGAGAGACAGGGGUAAAAUGUGUAUGUCAGAGAAGGGAAUUGCUUUGUCACAUUUUCCCAUUAUGGCUCUCCACUGUAAUUCCAGAACACUCCGCAAGAUUUGUUCUUCCUCAUCCAGGAAUUCACAGUGUGAUGCAUCCAGCCUAGGCCAGAAACAAAAGAGGCCUGGAGAGAAUGUCAGGGGUGUGGUGUAGAAGUCAAACCUUGCUGGGUAGAGGCGGUGGCUUUGAGGACUCUGGCGACGGAGAGGAAGUUCUGACAUGAACAUGCUACAGGUUUCUGUAGUGUUGGUGGUGGUGGUGACUUAAAAGGAGGAAGGAAGAAAGGAAGGAGGAAGAGAGGAAGGGAAAGAGGAAGAAGAGAGGAAGGGGAAAGAAGAGGAAGAAAGGAGGGAGGAAAGGGAAGGCGAGAGAAGAAAAGCUGAGCCAAUGGAGGAGGGAAGUAAUGUCUCAUCAAAGAAAGCCAAGUUCCCGAAGAUUCAAGUCCCAAAAUGUAUAGUUCACAUGGGUUCAGACUUCAUCCCUCACUUCCCUGAUAUCUGGAUUUCUGAGCUGAAGUGUAGGUGCGGCCUGGGUGCCAGAAGUCUUCAAAGAGAUGAGCCUCUGAUGGAUUUGAAGAAUGAAGAGUCCACCCAGAG